rnacentral:rRNA from 1 species
GAACUUAAGCAUAUCAAUAAGCGGAGGAAAAGAAACUAACAAGGAUUCCCCUAGUAACUGCGAGUGAAGCGGGAAGAGCUCAAAUUUAAAAUCUGGUGUGCCUCUGGUCACCCGAGUUGUAGUCUGGAGAAGUGUUUUCUGUGUUGGACCGUGUAUAAGUCUCUUGGAACAGGGCGUCAUAGAGGGUGAGAAUCCCGUCUUUGACACGGACUACCAAUGCUUUGUGAUGCGCUCUCAAAGAGUCGAGUUGUUUGGGAAUGCAGCUCAAAAUGGGUGGUAAAUUCCAUCUAAAGCUAAAUAUAGGCGAGAGACCGAUAGCGAACAAGUACCGUGAGGGAAAGAUGAAAAGCACUUUGGAAAGAGAGUUAAACAGUACGUGAAAUUGCUGAAAGGGAAACGCUUGAAGUCAGUCAUGUCUGCCAGGACUCAGCCUUGCUUCUGCUUGGUGUACUUUCUGGUUGGAUGGGCCAACAUCAAUUUUGACUGUUGGAGAAAGGCUUUGGGAAUGUGGCACCUUUGGGUGUGUUAUAGCCCUUUGUCGUAUACAACGGUUGGGAUUGAGGACCGCAGCAUGCCUUUAUGGCCGGGGUUCGCCCACGUACAUGCUUAGGAUGUUGGCAUAAUGGCUUUAAGCGACCCGUCUUGAAACACGGACCAAGGAGUCUAACAUGCCUGCAAGUGUUUGGGUGGAAAACCCAUGCGCGUAAUGAAAGUGAUAGCUGAGAUCCUCUCAUCAGGAGCAUCAGCGCCUGGACUUGAUCUACGGAGACGGUUCUACGGUAGAGCAUGUAUGUUGGGACCCGAAA